rnacentral:rRNA from 1 species
UACGGAGGGUGCGAGCGUUAAUCGGAAUUACUGGGCGUAAAGCGCGCGUAAGCGGUUUGUUAAGUCGGAUGUGAAAGCCCCGGGCUCUACCUGGGAACUGCACCCGAUACUGGCCGACUUGAGUGCGAGAGAGGGAGGUAGAAUUCCAUGUGUAGCGGUGAAAUGCGUAGAUGAAUGGAGGAAUACCGGUGGCGAAGGCGGCCUCCUGGCUCGAAACUGACGCUGAGGUGCGAAAGCGUGGGUAGCAAANAGC